GCCAAAGUCAAAGCCUCCAUAUUAGCAGAUUCACACAUUCCCUUUCCACAGUCCAUCAGGUUAUUGAACUGCUGUUAUUAACACACAACCGCAAACUCAUGAUGUUAAAGUCUUCGCUUAGUAAGGUUCUGGUUUAAGAGGCAGUCUUUGCUUUCAUCGGAAAUAGUACUACUAUUGCUUGGCAGCAGGCUACAUCUAUCAAUUAAUGAAAGGAACGUCUGACUCUCAGUCUGCGUGUGUUUGUGUACCUGUUAUUCGCAUAUCUCCCGAAUACAAUUUACAUUAGUAUUGUGAUUGUUGUUUUAACAUUCACAUUAGUGUUAAAAUUACUUUAAAAAGUAGUGGGGGAAAAAGUGGGACCAUGAACUUGCAGGAUCUGGCUGUGCAUUGUAUGCGUGCACAUAUGUGUUGUUAUGUAUUAUGUGUUGUGACUUUUAUGUUUGUAUUUUAAUCUUUUUAAACAGCUCUUAAAAAAGAUGAGCCCAAAGCAACUGCCGGUUCCAGUAGUGUCUCUACACUGGACUCAUCUUCCUCCGAGAUGAGUUCAAAGAGUACGGACUCAGAGUCAUCCAACAGCUCAUCCUCAGGGGACAAGAAGAGGAAGAAGAAGGGGAAAGGGAGAAAGAAGCUAUCCAAGAGGGUUAAAAUGGAAAAAACACUGCAAAGAGCCCGGAAUCCCGAGCAGGCUUUGGCCCGGUACAAAAAGAUUCUUAAAUGCUACAAGAGGCUUGGAACCAUGUCUGGGGCAUUUCGAAAGGUCGGUGUUGACCGUAAUACAGUGGUGGUCAAUGCACCAAUCGCCGAGCUUUCCAUUGCUGCCCCAGACCAGUACAAGGAAGCUUUGAAAACGUAUACCCAUUCCACAAAAUUGAAAGCAUUUGCGGAACACUGUGCCUUGACAAUUCUAGGCGAUGUAGAAAUAGUUGACGCAGUCAACACGCUUAAAGCCAGUGGUAAGCUGCUACCACUGAAAAAGAAAUAAUUAUGUGCAUUUUGUAUUAUGCUUUACAAGUGUUCCUGUAAAGUAAUUUUUACAUUUUCUGUACAAUACCACUGUUCAUAUUUUAUCUGUAUUUUUUUGUUGUGUGUUCUUUGUUGAAAAGAAGAAUUUAUGUAGUUUAAAAUAAAUAUUUGUACGUUUUCAGCACUUCA